UCCCAGUCCAUCCUGCUGCAGCGGCUUCCUCGGGGCCAGGCUGUUCCCAGAACCUUUCCUGUGGGGGCCUCCCCAGGCGCGGCCCUGGGAAAGGCCUCUCCCGUCUUGUUCCUCGUUUUGGCCCCCAGGGCCAAGGUCAGCGCCGGGCAGACGGCGGGGGCCCGGGCUGCAGCUGGUUAACUGGACCCUGGAGAAAAACGAGCAGAAACCGCCCCCGAAGCUCCAUUCAGUUCAAGGCCUCGUCCUUGUCUUGGUGGGUGCAAAAGUAAACUGAGCUUCACACGUGA
ensembl:lncRNA